UACGGAGGGUGCAAGCGUUAUCCGGAUUCACUGGGUUUAAAGGGUGCGUAGGUGGCCUUGUAAGUCCGUGGUGAAAGCCUCUCGCUUAACGAGAGAACUGCCAUGGAUACUGCAAGGCUUGAGUCCAGACGAGGUUGGCGGAAUGGAUGGUGUAGCGGUGAAAUGCAUAGAUACCAUCCAGAACCCCGAUUGCGUAGGCAGCUGACUAGGCUGGUACUGACACUGAGGCACGAAAGCGUGGGGAGCGAACAGG
rnacentral:rRNA from 1 species